rnacentral:rRNA from 1 species
UAGGGAAUCUUCUGCAAUGGACGCAAGUCUGACGGAGCAACGCCGCGCGAGUGAAGAAGGAUUUCGGUUCGUAAAACUCUGUUGUUAGAGAAGAACAGCGCAUAGAGUAACUGUUAAGCGUGUGACGGUAUCUAACCAGAAAGCCACGCCUAACUACGUGCCAGCAGCCGCGGUAAUACGUAGGUCCCGAGCGUUGUCCGGAUUUAUUGGGCGUAAAGCGAGCGCAGGCGGUUAGAUAAGUCUGAAGUUAAAGGCGGUGGCUCAACCAUUGUAGGCUUUAGAAACUGUUUAACUUGAAUGCAGAAGGGGAGAGUGUAAUUCCGUGUGUAGCGGUGAAAUGCGUAGAUAUAUGGAGGAACACCGGUGGCGAAAGCGGCUCUCUGGUCUGUAACUGACGGUGAGGCUCGAGAGCGUGGGGAGCGAACAGG